AUUGAACGCUGGCGGCAGGCCUAACACAUGCAAGUCGAACGAGUGGCGGACGGGUGAGUAAUGUCUGGGAAACUGCCCGAUGGAGGGGGAUAACUACUGGAAACGGUAGCUAAUACCGCAUACCAUCGGAUGUGCCCAGAUGGGCGUAGCUAGUAGGUGGGGUAACGGCUCACCUAGGGGACGAUCCCUAGCUGGUCUUUGAGGAUGACCAUCCACAUUGCAACUGAGACACGGUCCAGACUCCUAGGGGAGGCAGCAGUGGGGAAUAUUGCACAAUGGGCGCAAGCCUGAUGCAGCCAUGCCGCGUGGAUGAAGAAGGCCUUCGGGUUGUAAAGUACUUUCAGCGAGGAGGCGUUACUCGCAGAAGAAGCACCGGCUAACUCCGUGCCAGCAGCCGCGGUAAUUC
rnacentral:rRNA from 1 species